GCGCGAUUAGCUCAGCGGGAGAGCGCUUCCCUGACACGGAAGAGGUCACUGGUUCAAUCCCAGUAUCGCGCACCG
rnacentral:tRNA from 60 species